GAUGAACGCUAGCGGCAGGCCUAACACAUGCAAGUCGAGGGAGGAGCUUUCGGGCUUCGACCGGCGUACGGGUGCGUAACGCGUAUACAAUCUGCCUUUCACAUAGGGAUAGCCCGAAGAAAUUUGGAUUAAUACCUAAUGGUAUAUAGAGGUGGCAUCACCUUUAUAUUAAAGCUGAGGCGGUGAAAGAUGGGUAUGCGUUCUAUUAGCUAGUUGGAGAGGUAACGGCUCCCCAAGGCGACGAUAGAUAGGGGUUCUGAGAGGGAUAUCCCCCACACUGGUACUGAGAUACGGACCAGACUCCUACGGGAGGCAGCAGUGAGGAAUAUUGGACAAUGGUAGGAAGACUGAUCCAGCCAUGCCGCGUGCAGGAAGACGGCCUUAUGGGUUGUAAACUGCUUUUGCAGGGGAAGAAUAAGGACUACGCGUAGUUUGAUGACGGUACUCUGCGAAUAAGCAUCGGCUAACUACGUG
rnacentral:rRNA from 1 species